rnacentral:rRNA from 1 species
AGAAUCAACGCUGGCGGCGUGCCUAACACAUGCAAGUCGAACGGGAAAGUGGAGCAAUCCAUGAGUAUAGUGGCGACCGGGUGAGUAACACGUGACUAACCUACCUUCAAGUGGGGGAUAACCUCGGGAAACCGGGGCUAAUACCGCAUAAUAUCUCUGUUAUGAGAAAGCAGAGAUCAAAGGAGCAAUUCGCUGGAAGAGGGGGUCGCGGCUGAUUAGCUAGUUGGUGGGGUAAUGGCCCACCAAGGCUUUGAUCGGUAGCCGGCCUGAGAGGGCGCACGGCCACACUGGAACUGAAACACGGUCCAGACUCCUACGGGAGGCAGCAGUGGGGAAUUUUGCGCAAUGGGGGAAACCCUGACGCAGCAACGCCGCGUGGAGGAUGAAGUCCCUUGGGACGUAAACUCCUUUCGACCGGGAAGAUUAUGACGGUACCGGUGGAAGAAGCCCCGGCUAACUUCGUGCCAGCAGCCGC